CGCGUAGGUAAUCUAUCUUCCGUAUUUGGGAUAACAUCGGGAAACUGAUGCUAAUACCAAAUGGUCUUCAUUUCUGUUAGGGAGAUGGAGUAAAGGUGGCCUCUUCAUGAAAGCUACCGUAUAGGGAUGAGCCUGCGUACCAUUAGCUAGUAGGUGGGGUAAUGGCCCACCUAGGCUACGAUGGUUAGCGGGUCUGAGAGGAUGAUCCGCCACACUGGAACUGAAACACGGACCAG
rnacentral:rRNA from 1 species